ensembl:snRNA U6 U6 spliceosomal RNA
GUUCUUUGUGUUAAAACAAUCCAAAUACAUGAUAUAGAAAAGAUUAGCAUGGCCCCAUCACAAGGAUGAAAUGCAAAUUCGUGAUGCAUUCCAUAUUAAA